GACGGAGCAACUUCGCGCAUUCCGUGCCCAAUUGUCCGAGACCCCCUAGACAAAAAUCGCACGAUUUUCGCCAACGUACGACGAAGAAAGAGAGGAUUGACGGACACGUGGAAGUCCUUGCGAACGAAUCCCGUGAAACGACACGAAAACCGAGCGAGACUUUUACACAACAUUAUCCCGAAAAAUGGUGAGCCACGAUCCACCAAGAAUAAAAGAUCUCUCGAUCAAA